rnacentral:rRNA from 1 species
ACGCUCGACACCUACGGGGCAGCAGUGGGGAAUAUUGCACAAUGGAGGAAACUCUGAUGCAGCGAUGCCGCGUGAGGGAAGAAGGUUUUCGGAUUGUAAACCUCUGUCUUUGGGGACGAUAAUGACGGUACCCAAGGAGGAAGCUCCGGCUAACUACGUGUCAGCAGCCGCGGUAAUCUGAGCGGGCUGGCAAGGC